GUUCACUCAUCAUUUCAGGUGCGGGUAAAUGUGCUAAAUGGUGUGGAAUUUUAUGACUAUAAAAGGUCAAAUUUCAAGAGUUUUCUUUUUAAAGGAAAUUUCAUGGAAUUUAAAAUGUGAAGUCCAAUCAUACUGAAUUCAUUGGCAACCAGACCUGCUUAAAGGUGAAACCUCAUUUCCCCAGGGGUUUCAAGUGAGAGAGGAGAAAGUCCCCUCAGGUUGCUCCCCCUUCUGCCAGGUUUCAGUUAUAACAGAGAAUCUUUUCACAAAAUAUAGUCAAUUUAUACUUCAGGAAUUUAAAACAUAUUUCAUUGGCUCAUCUGGACACUGGAAAAUCUUAUAUUCUUUCCCAAAUGACUUGGCACAUUAGUUUGGCACACACUGAGAACUCACACACCUGGCAAGCCACCUCGACUUUCCUGACGCUCAGAAGGAGGUCUCCAAACCUGCAAGCAUUUUGGAUGGUCUUCUUGAGGACAUGUGGCCAGCCUUGGCAUUUGCUGAGUCCUCUACUGCACAGGAUUCUCACUGAGUUAGCAAACAUGUGGCCUAACAGAAUUCUUGGUGUGAGAGAUUGAGUCCUUCCCACAAUCAUAUGAAUGAGUUUGGAAGUGGAUCUCCUACGGCCACGCCUGCAGAUGAGACCACAGCCCUGGCCUGUGACUGCAACUUCAUGAGAAAGUUUGAGCCGGAUGUACCCAUCUAAGAAGACAGGCCUGGAUUUAUGACUCAAUGACACUGUGAAAUAAUAAAUGCUUGUUGUUUAGAGCCUCUAAUUUUUAGAGUAAUUUGUUACACAGUAUUAGAAUAUGAAUCCAGGGGACAAGAGAGUUGAAUUCCCAAUAAGGAAAGGUGGAUUUAUAGUCUCCUCUUCAUACUUUCUAUAAAAUUGAGAAUUUCUCAUGAUCUUGUCUGAUAAUUCAGCAAAUUGGCUUCCUGGGGUUCAUUGCCAACUCUUCCCUCUUCCUUCCUUUACCUUCUUUGAGCCAGUCAUACCGUAAUACAACAUGUUUCUUUUUUUAAAAAAAUAUUUUAUUUAUUUAUUUGACAGAGAGAUCAGGAGUAGGCAGAGAGGCGGACAGAGAGAGAGGAAGGGAAGCACCGAUACAACAUGUUUCUUGUAAGAAAUCCACCUUCUGGGGCGCCUGGGUGGCUCAGUGGGUUAAAGCCUCUGCCUUCGGCUCAGGUCAUGAUUGCAGCAUACUGGGAUUGAGCCCUGCAUCGGACUCUCUGCUCGGUGGGGAGCCUGCUUCCUCCUCUCUCUCUGCCUGCUUGUGAUCUCUAUCUGUCAAAUAAAUAAAUAAAAUCUAAAAAGAAAGAAAGAAAGAAAGAAACCCACCUUCUCUCCCACCACCCCUCUUACAUCCUUCUUUGCUUUUAUUCAGAGUGAAGGAGGGAUAAAAUAAUUUGAGUUAAAAUGAGACAUUAAUGCUCCUGAAAAUAGAUAUACUUGGGAGUGAUGUGUUGGAAUCUCCAGGCGUGCUGGAGCCCUUGGAGUCGGGGACAAAAUGUGGCUGGUGAUCACCCAAGAUGGCAUGCGGAAGUUAGGGGUUAGGAGUGAGGGACCCAGGUAACAAGUAUUAUUUUUUUGGCCUUUUUUUUUAAACAAACUGGGAAGGGGCUGUUCUGCUGGGUUUUGGGCGGAGAGGCAGGGGGCAGGAUUUAGUUGUUCUUAGAAUAUAGAAUCUUUAUGAUUAGGAAUAAAAGCUGAGUUGAGACUGGUUCUCUCUCCAGCAUCACCUCUGUUCCUCAUUUCUUUGUCAAGGGGAGGAGUGGUUGUUAACCAAACAAGAUUUAUGUUUCCACUGAACAAAUUUUGAAGGAGAGGAAAAUGCCUACUCAGGCAACAUGCCAUGAGAUCCUUAGCAAGCUUCAGGAUGUACAUCUUAAGAAAAAUACUUUCAUUUGAAGCUAUGGAAAAGUAAAAGACAUAUUCAACAAUAGUUGACAAUGACAUUCAAAAGAUAGUUACAAGGCAGAAACUCAGAAGGGCAGGGUUUACUAAUGACAUUGAUACUCCUUGGUGGAAACUAAAGCUCUAAUUCAUGAGCUUACUGCAGAGAAGUUCCUAUUAAGGGAUUAUAACAAUGAUCAAUGAGAUGGAAAUUAAUAAAAGUAAAAAGGUAAACCACUGAUCAGGUAUUUCUUUUUUUAAAUUUUUUAAAAAAGAUUUUAUUUAUUUAUU
ensembl:lincRNA